UUGGAGGGCAAGUCUGGUGCCAGCAGCCGCGGUAAUUCCAGCUCCAAUAGCGUAUAUUAAAGUUGUUGCAGUUAAAAAGCUCGUAGUUGAAUUUCGGGGUUCUACCAUUGGUCGGGCUUUGUCUGUACUGGUGUGUAGAAUUUCUACCUUCUGGGGAACCAUCAUGCUAUUAAUUUAGCAUGGUGGGAAACCAGGACCUUUACCUUGAAAAAAUUAGUGUGUUCAAAGCAGGCUUAUGUCUGAAUACAUUAGCGUGGAAUAAUAGAAUAGGACGGUGGUCCUGUUUUGUUGGUUUCUGAAUCACCGUAAUGAUUAAUAGGGAUAGUUGGGGGCAUUAGUAUUCAAUUGUCAGAGGUGAAAUUCUUGGAUUUAUUGAAGACUAACUUCUGCGAAAGCAUUUGCCAAGGAUGUUUUCAUUAAUCAAGAACGAAAGUUAGGGGAUCGAAGACGAUCAGAUACCGUCGUAGUCUUAACCAUAAACUAUGCCGACUAGGGAUCGGACGAUGUUAAUUUUUUAAUGACUCGUUCGGCGCCUUACGGGAAAC
rnacentral:rRNA from 1 species